CUGAAAUGCAAACACAGGUCAUCAGCAAGCUCCAGUCUCAGAGGAAGCAGACGCAUACCAGAGGGGCCUGUCACGGAACAAGGCAGAUCUUCGUUAUCGGCCACUCAGAUUAUUCAGUCACGCAAACCAGGUGCUAGAGUCAUACUAGAAGCAAGAGGACCAUGAAGAAAUGUCCUCUGAAGGAAAAAUGACCACAACCCAGAAUCCUGUAGUCAGCCGGACGAUUACCCGGGGGAAUGUGAAGAGCCUUCCAGGCCUGCAGUCCUGAGACUCACAGCCCACGUGCCCGUUUCCCAGGAAGUUCCUGGAAGCUGUACCAACACGAGAAUAAACAGGGCGUAACGGUGAGGAGGGGGAAGCGAACCUCAGUCCCAGGCAGGAGAAACCCCUGGGUGCCCACAGUGAUGCCACCCACCCUGCACCAGGCAGGCCGUCAGUCUGAGCGGGAGUCAGCUGCUCCAAGACGCAACACCCGGGACCAGCAGAAUGACCGGAUGCCUCGGCAGACAUCAGGCGGAUGGAAGCUGCUGCUGCCGCCUCUGCGGUGAGUGAGUGGCGUGCAGGUGGAGCACCAGGCAAGUGGAAAGACGGUGUUCACCUCACAGAAAAUGAGUGAUUGUGAAGGAGGAGAAAGGCGGCUCAGAACGCAGGACGGCUCCCCUAGGAGCUGGCUGAAAAGUUCUAACGACAUACACAGCCUGGAAUGGCACUUCCUUCAUUAGCAGCAGAAGGCAGCGGGAGAGACACAUGGCAGGGAUCGGAGAGGAAAGACGGCUAAGCUCGUCUCCCCAGAGGGAUGUCCACAGAGAAUGCCCGAAACACAACAGUCACGUUCCAGAGUUACCCGAGGACGGCACACACCCAGAGAAUCAGACUAAGGAAUGGAGCAGGCAUGGUCAGGGGGACGGAGAAGGAUCCCUCCAGGAGGCUGCUGUCUUCACAGCAAACUUGGCAGAACCACAGAAGUUAUUAGACUGAACAUCUUUAAAUUUAACAAACGGGAAGCAAAACAAGAAUUUUUUUAUCCUUUAAAUCUCACUCGAAUAUCAACGUUUGAAAUAAGCACAAUUCUUUCUAAAAAACAUUUCAGUUGGCCAACAUUUUACAAUAUAAUGUCAUUAAACUUAGUAUUAUCUCCGAGUAAGAAUCUUCUUACCUGUGACAGUAGCUCCUCCUUUUCCCCAGCAAGUUUUCGUAGCCUUACAUCUAAAACAAAUGUAAAAGGUUGUGAACUAAAUUUGUAAUGAAGAAUAAAUUUGUAUGAAAAAUAAUUCUUCAAAUUCAUAAACAGCAAGUAUUAUCUGAUCAGUUACAUUACAGCUCUGAAUAUCAAAGAAAUAAAGGCUCUAAUGCAAUUACAGAGGAAUACUUAAUUUGUUGGGGCACCAAAUACAUUUGCUCCCCAAAACAUUUUCCCACUUUCUUAACGACAAGCCAAAGUACAAAAGAGAGAAGCUUCGUGUUUUAAAAAUCUGCAUGCUUUCACCAGCACGCAGGCAACUCAAAUGCCAUGGGUGCCGUCCCAAGCUCAAGCCCUCCCUCACUCAGCGAGGGCAAUCAAAGCACUUGAAAGUAGACAGAGGGGACCGGAGCUGUAGCAGGUAGGGCCGCUGCCUGCAGGACCAGCAUCCCAUUUGAGCACCGGUUCAAGUCCCGGCUGCUCCUCUUCUGAUCCAGCUCUGCUAUGGCCUGGGAAAGCAGUAGAAGAUGGCCCAAGGCCUUGGGUCCCUGCACCCGCGUGGAAGACCCAGAAGAAGCUCCUGGCUCCUGGCUUGGAUCAGCGCAGCUCAAGUUGUUGUGGCCCAUUGGGAAGUGAACCAGCAGAUGGAAGACCUCUCUGUCUCUCCUUCUCUGUCUGUGUAACUCUUUCAGAUAAAGAAAUCUUAAAAUAGAUAAAUAAAUAAAGCAGACAGAGGGUGGGAGUGGGACAAGGCACAGGAAGAAGAGGGAGCUGGACUAAAGAAAACAGAGGAAUACAACGCUGCAAAUGGCCAAGUCCCACAAAGCCAGCAGAGGGAGGGGGGGGGACCGACUCUCCGAUGUGGUCCAAGGGCGAAUCUGAGGUUUGGAAGCAGGACGCUGAGGGUUGGCUCCUGGCCUGUCAGACGAAAGGGUUGCUUCUUCACAAGCCUGCAUUAAAAUAGGCCCCCUGGGCUGAGCAAACACCAGGAGUUCAGUUAAAGCAGCAGCUGACACUUGGCCAACCAAGCCCCACCACCAGUCAGGAUCAGGGCCAAAGUGAGUCUGGUUUCUCCGGCAUCUUCCACACAUGGAGAGGUCCACUCUCUAGCUCCCUCGCGCUCGGCACACUCUCUGCUUCACUGAAGCGCUCUACAGUCAAACUUCAGGAUUGAGCACAUCACAGAAUGUGCCUGCUGACUUUUCAAAUGGUUUUCAGCCUCCACUGUUAGUGUCUCAUACGCCUCCAGGCAACCUAUGCAUACAUGAACACGAGCUGGGGAAGACUGCUUCUUCAUAAACAAAAGUGAGGUGAUGACACAGUAUCUGUGUCGUUUUUCUUCCUCUGGUGUAGGGUCCUGGGCUGCAACGGUUGGCCCCCUUUGUGGCUGACAGGGGCAGCUAUCAUUAGACCCCAAAAGGGUUGGAUGAGAGGCUAAGAGGCUUAGACUGUCACAGGCUUAGAAACCGUGUUCUGGAUGUCCCACUCCUCUGACGUCUGUCUUCCUGUCCUCUGUUUUGUGCAUUAAGAAAUGUGCAGGCAAAGGGCUACAGAGCUCUGGGGUACGCAGUGGAAGAAGACAUUUAAAACACACAUGCGAAGGGUUCUGCCAGCCCACUGCUUCCCUGGGACGGGAGUGCUAGACGGUCUCUGCAGGAAGUCUGCAGAAGCGAAAAGGCAGUUCAUGUAAACCCACGGUGCUUCUGCCCAGAGGACCCACAGCCACAGUUACCGGGACCCAGGUGCUACUUCCCCAAGGCCAAAGGUGCUAGUGCCCAGAUUCUUCCAGUGAAGCGUCGAGGUCAGUCUCAGGCCUUGCGCUGUCUGCGUUUUCCAAGCUGGGAUGUUGACAACAAGCUGGAAGCCCGACAGGGCGACAUUAACCCAAGUCACCAGAACAGGCAGUGUCUUACCUAGUGGCCCUUCGCCUGCUGACUCCAAGACCUGAGCAGCUUCCUGAGACACAACGGUGAUGGCUCCAACCACUGGUUCGUGAUUGACAUCACCAUUGGGAGUGCCAUCGGGAAUUAUAACUAAGCCAUGUUUCUGUGGGAAAGAAAAAACCCACCAUCACAAACGAUGCGCACGCCAAGCAGUAAGCGCUGUGAGGUCACUCUGCAACAACACACGCUUGCCACAGCACAACCUGCUUAGAAUCGGCAUGUGAAGAAGAGCUCUGCGGAAAAACACGCUCCUACCAGGUCUGAACGGGGGAACAGGCUGCUGGUGGACUGGCACGAGAGACGCCAGGACGAGAGAAGACAGACAGAGGACAGCUGCGGGCUCAUGCUAACGUACCUCUCCGGUCUGCACUGUCUCCCGCAGGUCAGCCAGCUCCUCUCGGAGCGCAUCGCGCUCAUCCCUGAGGCAGGCAGCGUGUUCCUUCUGUUUCUCUAGGGCCUGGUUUCAGGCGGGGUAGCGAGGGAAAGAAUGGCACAGAAAAGAGCAAGUGAAAGGUAACUAAUUCCAACCAGCAGAGACAAGGGCAUCAAAAAGCAAGGAAGCAGUUACAGCUUGGAAACCAGCAGUCAGGGAGAGAAGAAACACAGAAGAGUCUACACAUGAAGUGGUCCUCGUGCAGCAAUUUGGUAAGAACAGGUUCCCUUCCAGUCAUUAAAAAAAUUUAAAGCAAAAGGAAGAUGAACAAAGUAGCAAGAGUUAAAAGUAUUCCCUUACUGACCUCCUCAGCACAUUUUCACUUGGUGAACAAAAUAUGUUAUGUUUAAGUAAAAUCACUUAUUCAAGAAUAUACCUGAUUUAAAAAAAAUUAGAGAUUCAGGGGAAAAUAGUAUAUACAAGGUAUUUUAAUUAAAUAUUGACUGUAUGAUUAUAUGCAAAUACUACAGCAAAAUACUCAAAUACCAAUUAAUUUAAAAUAACUCCUCUUCAAAAGGAUUCUCAAGAAUCUACUUCUGUGAAUUUAGUUAAAUACAAUUAAGAUUCACUUGGUUUUCUGAUACAUUUUCAAAUUUUGAAAAACAAAAACAAAAUGAAUAGAGCCCAGCUGUGGCGGGGACAGAUUAUGGGUUUUAGUGUCAAGAUCUCGGUCCUGGCACAUACUUAGUUCAGCCAUGCCUCCGUGUCCUCAUUUAAAAACCAGAGGGCAACACGAGCACCAUCCCACGGCCAGAGGCUGAGAGGUGGACUCAGCACAAUCAUUGCCAGAGUGCCCCAGACAGCAGGGAAGGCUCAGGAAAAGCAGGCUGACGUUCCCAGCUGUAAAGUUCCCGACACGGGGGCAGAAUUUAGGCCUGCGGCUAAGCUGGUUCGGGCACCCACGCCCCACGUCAGAGCUCCUGACUCUACCUUCCUCCUAAUGCAGGGCCUGGGACGCAGCGCUGAUGCUUCGAGUACCGGAGUUCUCAGCACUCACGUGGGAAAGCUGGAACAAGUCCAGGCUCCCGGGCAUCUGGGGAGUGAACCAGCGGACGGCAGCACUGCUGCUCACACACCCUACCACUCAAAUCAAAACAAACUAAGCAAAAAACACGAGAAUUCCCUGCACGUCCUCAUCCCACAACUGCUGGGCUGAGGAGGACAGUGAGGCAGGAACAUGCUUUGGUGAUCCGUGAGAUAUCAGUUUCCUUUGAUUAUGUGAUAAAAUAUCCACACUUCAAACCAUGCCAAGCAGUGUGUGCAGGAAUCUGACAGCUGAGCUAGUAUAUUUUUCAUAUACUUAAUCUUUUCUGCCAGCAUUUGCAAUAAGUCAAGAUGAACUACAACAAGUAACUUUUCUCUGUCGAUGACUGGGUUUAGAAGUGGGGCAGGGACGGUGCUGUGGCUUAGCAUAUAGAGCCACCGCCCGUGACACCAGCAUCCCAUAUGAACACUGGUUCUUGUCCUGGCUGCCCCUCGUCUGAUUCAGCUCUCGGAGAACGUGCCUAGGGAGAGCAGCAGUCAUCCAAGGGGGAGGCGCAGAUGAAGCUCCUGGCUACUGGUUUUGGCUUGGCCCAGCCCUAGCUGUCCUGGCCACUGGGAAGUGAACCAGUGGAUGGAAGGAGUGUGUGUGUGUAUGUGUGUCACUCUUUCUCUCUGACUCGGCCUGUAAAAUAAAUGCAUCUUUAAAAAAAGGACAACUGCUUCAUUAACUGACAGCUGAAUAGUUGAAUAUUUUAAAAUAUCAUUACAAUCAUUCUGCAACCAAUUUGAGAAUAAACAAAGAAGGAGUGGUAACAAGUACCACGUAUGUGGCAUAAAUUAUAUCACAGACAUAAUAUAUGUCUGUAUCAUAUAUAUCAGAUACAAUUUCUCCCUUACACAUAUCACCUCCUUGACAUUUCCUAUAAUGUACUACUAUGUCUUAUCCUUAUUUUACAAACUGGAAAACUGAGACUGAAAAAGACGAAUUUGUUUGUUUUUGUCCAAAGUCACAGUAAGUUUUAGAAAUGCCAGAAAAUUGAUCCAGUUAGUUUUGGUUUCAAAGCUCGUGCAAACAGUUUUUUAUAUCCAGUCCCACGAAGGCUGCAUCAUGUUCCUAUCAGACCAGCUGAUGG